rnacentral:rRNA from 1 species
GAUGAACGCUGGCGGCGUGCCUAACACAUGCAAGUCGAACGGAGUCCAGCCUUUAAGACCUUCGGGUCAAAGAGGGGAAGACUGAGUGGCGGACGGGUGAGUAACACGUGGGCAACCUGGCUCAUAGAGGGGGAUAACAGAGAGAAAUUUCUGCUAAUACCGCAUAAGCACACACUGCCGCAUGGCAGAGGGUGAAAAGAGAAUCGCUAUGAGAUGGACCCGCGUCUGAUUAGCCAGUUGGCAGGGUAAGAGCCUACCAAAGCGACGAUCAGUAGCCGAUCUGAGAGGAUGAACGGCCACAUUGGGACUGAGACACGGCCCAAACUCCUACGGGAGGCAGCAGUGGGGGAUAUUGCACAAUGGGGGGAACCCUGAUGCAGCGACGCCGCGUGAGUGAAGAAGUAUUUCGGUAUGCAAAGCUCUAUCAGCAGGGAAGAUAAUGACAGUACCUGAAUAAGAAGCCCCGGCUAACUACGU